GCUAUGACCGUCCACUGAACCUUAUCAUUUAGAGGAAGGAGAAGUCGUAACAAGGUUUCCGUAGGUGAACCUGCGGAAGGAUCAUUG
rnacentral:rRNA from 2 species